UACGGGGGGGGCAAGCGUUGUUCGGAAUUACUGGGCGUAAAGGGCUCGUAGGUGGCCAACUAAGUCAGACGUGAAAUCCCUCGGCUUAACCGGGGAACUGCGUCUGAUACUGGAUGGCUUGAGUUUGGGAGAGGGACGCGGAAUUCCAGGUGUAGCGGUGAAAUGCGUAGAUAUCUGGAGGAACACCGGUGGCGAAGGCGGCCACCUGGACGGAUACUGACGCUGAGACGCGAAAGCGUGGGUAGCAAACAGG
rnacentral:rRNA from 1 species